GUUAAUCAUCAGAUGACGUGGAGCAAGAACAGGCUUACAUUGCUUGCAGAGUACCUGGAAGUAUCUGGUGAUGGUAAAGAUGGAAGGACACAGAAGGAAGACACCUGUGGUUUACCUGGUGGAGUGAAGCUGCUUAGCAGGAGGCAUAAUGAAUAGGAAGCAACCAAGUCUAGAUGUGCGUAUUUCAGAUUGUCAUCUUCACAGAAGGCCUUUGAAGUCUUCCCUGGUCAUCUGGAGGAUAAAAUAAUCUUUUUUUGUUUAAUUACUGGAGUUCGUGGCACCAGGAUGAGUGCACUACAAAGGUAUCACUAUAUUGAAUCUUGCCACAGCACAGAAAAAUGAGUGCACAGACUAUGUUGGGAUCUGAAGUGGCUCUUUGGUGAAAAUGAGAUGCUUGAAUCCAGCAGCGUGAGGCUCAAAACAUUUACACAGCUUUUGCCUUGCUCAAAUCCUACUACCUCUCUGCCUCACUUUCACACAGAGUUACACCUCUCAACCGUGCCCUGACCCAGCCAGAUUCAGAAAUCAGAUAAACUUCCCCAUUAGUUCCCUGAGGGAAACCUUCAGACGUGAGUAAUGCACCGCUGGGACCAGUCUGGGCUUGGCGGCUACCUCACUGCUGUAGGAGAUGUGAGUUGGAGUUGUCUCAAGCAGCGGAGUGCAUAUUUCCCACUCCCUGGGUAAGCAUUCUCAUGCUGGGCUUUUAUGCAAAAGCAGGGCAUUAAGCAUUUAUCAUACUUUGCCAUUUACAAGGAGGCAGCAGCAGCUAACCCAAUUUCUCCCUAAAUUUCCCAUGGACCCCAG
rnacentral:lncRNA from 1 species